rnacentral:rRNA from 1 species
AUGGCCUUCACCCCACCGAGCUUCAGUCUUGGCAUCAGUCAAGAUCAACCACUGGUGCCAGAUCCUAUGCCAGUUGCCUUUGCUUUCCCGGGAGGCAUGCCCGCAAUGAUGGCGCAGCCAAUGGUCGAGGGCAGGAAGGCUGUUAAGUUCGCAGAGCUGAUAGUCCAAGGCACCCCUGAGGAGAUUUCACCGUCACUUGAUGAAGCUUACCGCAGGAUCGAGGAGGCAGCAUUGCAGAGGAGGUCCUCACGAGGGCAGGGGCAAUCAAGUUCCAACGUGCCUGCAAAUACGGUAUCUGAGGAUACCAUUAGGAGUGCCACCCCUGGUUCUAUGAGGCAGCAGAGGGUAGUUCACCCACCUCCUGCGAAAGACUACGAGCCCGAAUUCAGGGCCACAAAGGAACAGACCCAACUGUACGAUAUUGUCAAGCGGUUUGGAAAUGCGAGGGCCAGCAACAAGCACAUGAAGGAGCUGAAAGCGUAA